UGGGUCAAUCUAUGGGGCUGACAUCCCUCUAUGGGUCAAUCUAUGGGUCUGAUCUCCAUCUAUGGGUCAAUCUAUGGGUCUGAUGUCCCUCUAUGGGUCUUUCUAUGGGUCAAUCUAUGGGUCCAUCUAUGGGUCCGAGGCCCCCCUAUGGGUCCCUCUAUGGGUCAAUCUAUGGGUCCAUCUAUGGGUCCGAGGCCCCCCUACAGGUCCCUCUAUGGGUCAAUCUCUGGGUCUGACGUCCCUCUAUGGGUCAAUCUAUGGGUCCGAUGUCCAUCUAUGGGUCCCUCUAUGGGUCUGACGUCCCUCUAUGGGUCAAUCUAUGGGUCUGAUCUCCAUCUAUGGGUCAAUCUAUGGGUCUGAUCUCCAUCUAUGGGUCAAUCUCUGGGCCUGAUGUCCCUCUAUGGGUCAAUCUAUGGGUCAAUCUAUGGGUCCGAGGCCCCCCUACGGGUCCCUCCAUGCCU
rnacentral:lncRNA from 1 species